CAGAUUUGUUGCUGCUACUUCCAACAUUACUGCAAUCUACAAGCAUUGAAGGAAAGUACAGGAAAGACAAGUUUACAGGUAGCACUUGGAAAAAGCUGCAGAACAUAAAGUUCAUAUAUUUGGUUUUAAAAAUGGUACUUGUGAAUCACAAACGUCAGACCCUUGACAGAUGGUCAGGAUUGUCUGACAUGAGGUGAUCUACAACUGGCUAGUUCGUGAAAGAAAGAAGCAGUUGACAGAUUUUAAGAAAAUACAGUAAUCCAAAGAAGUAGUAUAGCACAUUAACAAAGGAAAUCGUUGCAUAGAUAGGACAAGCGAAAUGGACAUCUCUCACUUUGGAAUUUUACAGUUAUAUAUGUUGUACAAGAAUAACUUCGAGACACCAAUAUUUUUGUUUAUCGAAGUUGCUGUUAUUACAGAUGACAGAAAAAUGGUCCUGUGACCAUAAUUCUUUGAGUCAUUGUCUAGAUCAGGGGUUCUCAAACUUCUAACUCAUUGACAUCCCAAUGAAGUUUCAAAUUUUCUAUCGACCCCCUAGCCUAGCAUUUAAUUACUAUUAAUAAUUCAAUGAAAAACAAAAAGAACAAUGUCACAAUCAAUUAUAGUAGUAUUAGUUUAGUACUUGACAUACAGUAUGAUAAAAAUGUAAUACACUGUAAGAAAAUGUUUAGAAAUUUAGAUGCACCAGUAACUUGAUUCUCAAUGCAACAUACCAUUUUCUUCUUCCACUGUUGACAUCAUUAAUGUGAAGGAUGUGCUUGAUGGGACUCAACAAGGAUACUGAUAUUAGUUAUAGGUUGGUGAGCUUCAGCCGUAGGUUACCUCGUUCUUCCAGGUUCAGUCUACUCUGUUGUUUUUUUAAGACUGCAUUUGCAUGACUGAAACCAGCUUCAACCAUGUAAGAACUUGGGAAAGCAAGUAAUAAUGGCAGAACCACUGCACAAAGCUAAGGGUAUUUAGUAACGUUGUUCUCGUUGAUCCAGAAUUCAUGGAGACCUUUUCUUCUGAACAAGGCACUUGCUCAAGGUCCACAGUCAUGUCAAUGAAUUCCUCUUCCUUAUUUGAACAUCAAAAGGAGUUAGAAUCCUUUGUGGCACUUUAAAGUCUUCAAUUAAAUUCUCCAAAUGAGUCAUGUAAAUUUCUAUGUCCCCAUCAGGAAUGCUUUCACUUUG